rnacentral:rRNA from 1 species
CACCAUGGGAGGUCGGAAAGUGCCCGAAGCCGGUGACUCAACCUUUAAGGAGAGAGCCGUCGAAGGCAGGUCUGAUAACUGGGGUGAAGUCGUAACAAGGUAUC